CUGGUGAGACUGAAAAGUCUGGACAAACAUACGAGUGAAAACUGCAAAAAAUAUGAAACCUUUGUUUAACCCUGCACAACUGGCUUCCAGAGUGUAUAUCCGUGAGUCUACAGGUGGGCAGGCAGGUACAGGACGCAGGAGGUUGUAGGUCAGAAGCCAACAAGCUGUGCUGGAGACGCUCCGCGCUUCUCCCGUCCCGGUCUUCCUUUUUUGCAGGUGCCAGCGCCAGGUGGUGGCUCGGCUCGCACGUCCACUUUCGGUGUCAGCGUGCACGUCGUGAAGUUGACUUCAACAAGACGAGGCGGGUAGGUGUAGUUAUCCAGCAGCCAAACAAACAAACAUACAUGCAGCCUGCAAGAUGGAUGAACCCUGGCCGGUCUGACAUAGGUCAAUGACUUCCCUUCCCAUGUCAACCUGAGAAGUAAACAGCCGGAGCACAGGCGACUAUUUCAUUCUCCGCGUCUGGACCCGUGCACUCUGCUGUGAAGCUGCAGAUCUUUAUCUCUGAGGAAAGAAAGAGCACAAGUACCACCCCCCCCCCCCCCCCCCCCCUCCUCCCGCUCCCGCGCUCUGUCUUCUUACCUUCAUUACGCUUUUUUUUUGUUUGUUUAUGCUUGGGCGCAACCGUGGCUGCUGGUGAUGGUUUGAGGUCAGGCGUGACUAGGCCACACGGGUGACUCUAAAUAAAUACACAAGGACUAGCCAGGAAGGAGCGGCGAGGCUGCGCCCGGCUGCCGAAUCAGCCCUGAUUAAUCAGCCGGCAGAUCCGGGGUGACUUUCUGUGUACACUUCCAAGCAACCGAACCCGUGAUGGAAUCGGGCCGGCGUGGACAUGGAAAUCCAGGCAGUGGAGCAGAUGGAGCGUUGCCACCACGCCGUGCACAAAUGCGAUUGCGAAAGGCGCCGUCUUUGGCAGCCGCUCCCGCCCGUGAUCUCCAGCCGAAGUGACACGAUAGUCCUAUUUUCUUCGACCGCGGCGGAUGAACACACGGGCCUGUUGUGACGUGUGCCGAGCCGGUGGAAAGUGCAGUACUUGACGUGGCUCGGUAUUCGGGUCCGGACCAGACAUUGCCAAAAAGAAAGUCAUGCCUGAUAUGUUGUUGAAAAUGAGUGCUCUUUUGGAUUAUUUUGUGUCCUAUGUGCAAUGAAAUGUGUCAAAUACAGUCAUUCUAUGACUGUAAUGCGAUAUGUUCUAUAUGUUCUAUAUCAGGGGUCACCAACGCGGUGCCCGCGGGCACCAGGUAGCCCGUAAGGACCAGAUGAGUAGCCCGCUGGCCUGAUCUAAAAAUAGCUCAAAUAGCAGCACUUACCAGUGAGCUGCCUCUAUUUUUUAAAUUGUAUUAAUUUAGUAGCAAGCUGGUCUCGCUUUGCUCGACAUUUUAAGCGCUGAAGAGAGACAAAACUCAAAUAGAAUUUGAAAAUCCAAGAAAAUAUUUUAAAGACUUGGUCUUCACUUGUUUAAAUAAAUUCAUACAUUUUUUUACUUUGCUUUUUAUAACUUUCAGAAAGACAAUUUUAGAGAAAAAAUACAACCUUAAAAAUGAUUUUAGGAUUUUUAAACACAUAUACCUUUUUACCUUUUAAAUUCCUUCCUCUUCU